AUACAUUACGAUGCUGAAGUCGGUAGAGCUUUUUCAGUUCACUUGGACUUUAAGGUCUGGGUAUAUUAAAUGAUGACACCAGGAUGCUCUGUAAGAUGAUGACAUGCCAGUAGAGGGAGUGUGAUGCUCUGGGAUAACCCAGCCUGUCACAGAAUUGGUUUAAAGAAUAUAUUGAAGGGUGGCCUCUGAAUUCCACACACCUAAUCCCGUUGAGCAUCUGAAGGAUGUGCUGGACAAACAAGUUCGAUCUAUGACAACUCCACCUCAUAACCUACAGGCUUUGAAGGAUGUUCUGAUAACAUCUUGGUGCUUGACAAGGGGACACCUUUCAGGCAUACAGGGAGUGACACACACAUUUUUUUUUCUCUGUGAUGGGUUAUUUGGAGGCCACUUCAAAAUUUCAACAAUGGUUUUGAGUCCUGUCAACCAUGGUUUGAAUUAGUGAAUUCUGUGAUGGUUAUUUGACACUUUGCAAGCUGUAUUACUAAUAAAACAAAUGAUUAAGAUUUCUCGAUGACACUCGAAUACCCUGUCAGAAAUGUCUAGUGACUGGAAAUUAGCUUUUUACAGUGUCUGCUAUAAUGUUAAUGUUGUUUUUGGUGUGUUUACAUAGAUGAAUAUGCCCACAGUGUAAAUGCGCGGUAUAGUUACGAUUUUAUUGCCACAUUAUAUUGUCAUGAUAACAUGAUGUU